AUGAACGCUGGCGGCGUGCCUCAUACCUGCAAGUCGAGCGCACAGACGAGGAGCUUGCUCCUCUGACGUUAGCGGCGGACGGGUGAGUAACACGUGGAUAACCUACCUAUAAGACUGGGAUAACUUCGGGAAACCGGAGCUAAUACCGGAUAAUAUAUUGAACCGCAUGGUUCAAUAGUGAAAGACGGUUUUGCUGUCACUUAUAGAUGGAUCCGCGCCGCAUUAGCUAGUUGGUAAGGUAACGGCUUACCAAGGCAACGAUGCGUAGCCGACCUGAGAGGGUGAUCGGCCACACUGGAACUGGGACACGGUCCAGACUCCUACGGGAGGCAGCAGUAGGGAAUCUUCCGCAAUGGGCGAAAGCCUGACGGAGCAACGCCGCGUGAGUGAUGAAGGUCUUCGGAUCGUAAAACUCUGUUAUUAGGGAAGAACAAAUGUGUAAGUAACUAUGCACGUCUUGACGGUACCUAAUCAGAAAGCCACGGCUAACUACGUG
rnacentral:rRNA from 1 species